GAUGAACGCUGGCGGCGUGCCUAAUACAUGCAAGUCGAGCGAACGGACGAGAAGCUUGCUUCUCUGAUGUUAGCGGCGGACGGGUGAGUAACACGUGGAUAACCUACCUAUAAGACUGGGCUAACUUCGGGAAACCGGAGCUAAUACCGGAUAAUAUUUUGAACCGCAUGGUUCAAAAGUGAAAGACGGUCUUGCUGUCACUUAUAGAUGGAUCCGCGCUGCAUUAGCUAGUUGGUAAGGUAACGGCUUACCAAGGCAACGAUGCAUAGCCGACCUGAGAGGGUGAUCGGCCACACUGGAACUGAGACACGGUCCAGACUCCUACGGGAGGCAGCAGUAGGGAAUCUUCCGCAAUGGGCGAAAGCCUGACGGAGCAACGCCGCGUGAGUGAUGAAGGUCUUCGGAUCGUAAAACUCUGUUAUUAGGGAAGAACAUAUGUGUAAGUAACUGUGCACAUCUUGACGGUACCUAAUCAGAAAGCCAUGGCUAACUACGUG
rnacentral:rRNA from 1 species